UCCCGCGCCUCGGCGUCGGGCCCUACAACUGGAACACGGAGUGUCUGCGGGGCGACGCCGAGGCCCCCGGCUGGGCCACCGCCUUCCCCCAGGCCCUGGGGCUCGCCGCCUCCUUCAGCCCCGAGCUCGUCUACCGCGUGGCCAACGCCACGGCCACCGAAGUGCGGGCCAAGCACAACCACUUCGUCGCCACGGGCCGCUACGGGGACCACACGGGGCUCAGCUGCUUCAGCCCGGUGCUGAACAUCAUGCGGCACCCGCUGUGGGGCAGGAACCAGGAGACGUACGGGGAGGACCCGUUCCUCACCGCCGAGCUGGGCGCCAGCUUCGUGCGGGGGCUGCAGGGGCAGCACCCGCGCUACGUCAAGGCCAGCGCCGGCUGCAAGCACUUCAGCGUGCACGGGGGCCCCGAGAACAUCCCCGUCUCCAGGCUCAGCUUCGACGCCAAGGUGAGCGUGGGCAUGCCGGGGGGGACGGGGGGAGUCCCCGGCGCUGACCCUCGGUGCUCGCAGGUGCUGGAGCGCGACUGGCGCACCACCUUCCUGCCCCAGUUCCAGGCCUGCGCCCGCGCCGGCUCCUACAGCUUCAUGUGCAGCUACAACAGGUAGGAGCGGGCAGGGCUGGCGGCGGGGCGGCCCGGGGGGGCCCUUCUGCGCUCGCGGCCCCCCAGCCGGUGCCUCCUCCCCGGCAGCAUCAACGGCGUCCCUGCCUGCGCCAACAAGGAGCUGCUGACGGACAUCCUGCGGGGCGAGUGGGGCUUCGAGGGCUACGUGGUGAGCGACGAGGGCGCCGUGGAGUCCGUCAUGCUGGCGCACAACUACACGCGCAGCUUCGAGGAGACGGCGGCGGGUGAG
rnacentral:lncRNA from 1 species